rnacentral:rRNA from 1 species
CUCAUAUUGAAACCUAGUGAUUUAUGAGUUAGUGGCGGACGGGUGAGUAACGCGUGGAAAACCUGCCGUAUACCGGGGGAUAACACUUAGAAAUAGGUGCUAAUACCGCAUAAGCGCACAGCUUCGCAUGAAGCAGUGUGAAAAACUCCGGUGGUAUACGAUGGUUCCGCGUCUGAUUAGCUAGUUGGCGGGGUAACGGCCCACCAAGGCAGCGAUCAGUAGCCGGCCUGAGAGGGUGAACGGCCACAUUGGGACUGAGACACGGCCCAAACUCCUACGGGAGGCAGCAGUGGGGAAUAUUGCACAAUGGGGGAAACCCUGAUGCAGCGACGCCGCGUGAGUGAAGAAGUAUUUCGGUACGUAAAGCUCUAUCAGCAGGGAAGAAAAUGACGGUACCUGACUAAGAAGCCCCGGCUAACUACGUGCCAGCAGCCGCGGUAAUACGUAGGGGGCAAGCGUUAUCCGGAUUUACUGGGUGUAAAGGGAGCGUAGACGGCAGCGCAAGUCUGGAGUGAAAUGCCGGGGCCCAACCCCGGAACUGCUUUGGAAACUGUGCAGCUUGAGUGCGGGAGAGGUAAGUGGAAUUCCUAGUGUAGCGGUGAAAUGCGUAGAUAUUAGGAGGAACACCAGUGGCGAAGGCGGCUUACUGGACCGUAACUGACGUUGAGGCUCGAAAGCGUGGGGAGCAAACAGGAUUAGAUACCCUGGUAGUCCACGCCGUANACGAUGAUUACUAGGUGUCGGGGGACCANGGUCCUCCGGUGCCGGCGCAAACGCAUUAAGUAAUCCACCUGGGGAGUACGUUCGCAAGAAUGAAAC